UCCUGGCCGUAAACGAUGUGGGCUUGGUAUUGGGGGUCCCACGAGGGCGCCCAGUGCCGUAGCGAAGGCGUUAAGCCCACCGUCUGGGGAGUACGGUCGCAAGGCUGAAACUUAAAGGAAUUGGCGGGGGAGCACAGCAACGGGAGGAGCGUGCGGUUUAAUUGGAUUCAACGCCGGAAAGCUCACCGGGGGAGACUGCCGUAUGUGGGUCAGGCUGAAGACCUUACCCGAAC
rnacentral:rRNA from 1 species